UUUAUACAAUAUUUUUUUUACUGUACUUUUUGGUAACACUGGUGGUACUUUAGGCCAAAAUACCGUGCCUGCCAUAAGAGCCCAUGUAAAAAUUUUGGAGUGUCCACUGUCCAUUUUGAUUUCAUCUAUUUUGUGAUACACUUAUCAUUAGCUUUUGCAAUGGGUCACAAAAAGGAUUAUAUUUAUUAAAAUAUAAGUGAACAUAACAUUUAAGUUCUUCAAGUAAUACACAAUCAUCAAAUACACAUGGAAUAGUUUUAGACCAAGAAAUAAACCAAUUUCAUACAUUGGGUACAUUAUGUAACAUAACUGUGAACAUACUGAAGUAAUGAUUUACAUGAUAAGCAGGGCCAGAAUUCUUUGCCGUACGCCGUGCGAGCAUGAUCUACGGUACACCUGCUCGCUCGGUCGCUCUGCAAUUACAUCGUGCUUCUUUCCCUAUGGAAAAAUUAUAUUUCACAGAGUUCUUCAACGUGUUUACACGCCGUCAUCAACAGCCCUCAGAAUUCGGUCGACCCGACCACAAGUAAUAUUAUAUAACUUAACAGUGACGUA